rnacentral:piRNA from 1 species
UGGGAACAUCUGUACCUGCUCUGAGGAUGU